UACGUAGGGUGCGAGCGUUAAUCGGAAUUACUGGGCGUAAAGCGUGCGCAGGCGGUCCGCAAAGUCUGAUGUGAAAGCCCCGGGCUCAACCUGGGAACUGCAUUGGAAACUAACGGGCUCGAGUGUGGCAGAGGGGGGUGGAAUUCCACGUGUAGCAGUGAAAUGCGUAGAGAUGUGGAGGAAUACCGAUGGCGAAGGCAGCCCCCUGGGCCAAUACUGACGCUCAUGCACGAAAGCGUGGGGAGCAAACAGG
rnacentral:rRNA from 1 species